UACGUAGGGUGCGAGCGUUGUCCGGAAUUAUUGGGCGUAAAGGGCUCGUAGGCGGUCUGUCGCGUCUGCUGUGAAAUCCCGAGGCUCAACCUCGGGCCUGCAGUGGGUACGGGCAGACUAGAGUGCGGUAGGGGAGAUUGGAAUUCCUGGUGUAGCGGUGGAAUGCGCAGAUAUCAGGAGGAACACCGAUGGCGAAGGCAGAUCUCUGGGCCGUAACUGACGCUGAGGAGCGAAAGCGUGGGGAGCAAACAGG
rnacentral:rRNA from 1 species